rnacentral:tRNA from 1 species
AGGAGACAGAGGGCUUCGAUCCCACAAUUAACUAGUUAACAGCUAGCACGCCUAACCAAUGGCACUGACUCC